AGUCUACCCUUUCUUCUAUUUCCCUUUUGACACGUGUAACAACCUUGCUUGUAUGUAUAAUUACUCUUUUGAAAUUUUUUCAAUUUCGGGCCCUACAGGUGUGAUAUAAUAUUGCUCCCCAUUCAGUCAUAAGUUCUUCUCAAACUGUCUCUAGUGUUUUUAUUUUUAUUUUUAAUUUAAUGUUGAGCAGGAUCUGUUUUAUGUCUCCACCUUGCAGAUUAACAUUAGUACAUAGUGACAUCUCCUGCUUGACCUUUCUAAUCCAGUUGCAACUUCCAAAUAGAUGAGCAUUAGUCCCCAUUGCUUGGGUAUCACAUAGACAACACAUUAAAUCAUCCACUGAUAUGUUUAUCUUGAUCAUUCUUUCCUUUGUAAGCAAUCUACUUUGAACUGUCAAAAUAAAUCUUUGUUUUGGUUGAGCCACUCUGCUCUACACCAAAUCAGCUACUCUCAUUCUAGUUUGGUCACCAAAAAUAGCCAAAUAACUUUUUGUGCUAGAGUACUCAUCAUUUUCUGUAAGCAGGUAUCUACCUGAUAAUACCACCCUUGCAUCAGUACUCUUAAGGGAAUUUAAUGUCUUCCAGUACCAGCUACAAUCCAAAUGAGGUAUUUCGAAAUUAGAAUGCUCGGUAAGCGAAAAACGAGGAAAACAAGUGAUCUGUUCUGAUAUGCAUUAAGGACAGACCGUCAAAAUGCUCGACGGUCCGUCGAGUUGCCUUAUCGAUAAGUUCCUGCAAAUUGACAAAAUCAUCAGAUCAUCGACUUGCACCGUCGACAUGAUCGAUGGUCCGUCGAAGUGCUUCGACGAUGGAAGUCCUGCAAAGUGAAAAUAUGUCAUCAGAUCGCCGUCAUGCUCGUCGAACAUGUGAACAACCGUCGAAGUGCAACGACGACUCAUCAAAGUGCAAACUGAGCUGGAACAGGAUUGGGAUUGAUUAUUUCGAGUUUAACUUGUAUAAAUACCUGUUUAGGUUUUAUUUUUUGGACAUCUGGAAUUUUAGACUUGUAGUAAUUACUUUUGAAUUGUUAUUACUUUUGAAGAUUUUACAGGCAAAUUACAUUCGUUACUUUCAAGUUUUAUCCGUAAGUUCAAUACAAAAUUCAAUUAUGCAA